AUUGAACGCUGGCGGCAGGCUUAACACAUGCAAGUCGAACGAGUGGCGGAAGGGUGAGUAAUGCAUGGGCAUCUUACUUGUGGAGAGGGAUAACGACGGGACACUGACGCUACUACCGCGUUCCUUAGGCUGGGCCGGAGUAGGAUUAGGUAGUUGGUGGGGUAAUGGCCUACCAAGCCGACGAUCUGUAGCUGGUCUGAGAGGAUGAACAGUCACACCGGAACUGAGACACGGCCCGGACUCCUACGGGAGGCAGCAGUGGGGAAUAUUGCGCAAUGGGGGCAACCUGAUGCAGCCAUGCCGCGUGAAUGAAGAAGGUCUUCGGAUUGUAAAGUUCUUUCGGUGACGAGGCGUUACUCACAGAAGAAGCACCGGCUAACUCCGUGCCAGCAGCCGCGGUAAUUC
rnacentral:rRNA from 1 species